GGAAUAAAAAUAGAUUCAGAUUUGAACAGAGGAAAGAUUCAUUUGUAAUGCUGAUGCCGAAGGCCACGGCCUGGAUACAAAGAGAUGGAGGUCCCAGGCCAAGUUAGGAUGAACCAGUGAAAUGGACUAAGAUCCAUAUUUAGUUUUUCUGGGGUUCUGGACCACGUUACCAAGGAGAGUUAAAGAAAGCUGUUUUAUGGGAGAUUUAAAAAUCAAAAUAAGCAUCUGUUGCUUACUUCCGUUGUGGAAAGAUUUUGAUGAAGGAUUCGCUACAAUCUAGGACGAGCUCUGAAGGAGUCCAGAUGGUCGGCCAGUGGCCAUCUGCGUGGCCGAGACGGCAGCAGCCUUCUCUUACCAGGACAGGGGCCAACUGCUAAGCUGUUAGGCACAAGCAUGGAAAUUACAAAAAUAUUCAAAUAUCCAUUAUCUGGGACUCUGUUUGCCAAGCAUCCUAUCUAAUCAGGGGAAGCCUGCUGGAACAGAUGGGCGCUACUCUGUGCCCUAUAAGCUGGGAAACUUGGACAUGUUAGGACGGUGUGAAUCAAAGCGCCAAAUGUUGCCGCCACUACAAAGAACUCAUUUUCUACUCGCAAAAGACUGACCGUGCUUGUUCUGUUCAAAGAUUGCACCUUUGGCACCUGCAGCAAGUCCUCUAACCACUCCUACACUUUACCAGGAAGGAGAACAUUGACAUUCCUGAGAGACAAAGACCCAGGGUCAGAUUGCAUGUAGCAGGGAAUCUUGCCCAGCUAUUUCGAGGUGACUGGAACCAUCAGCUUAAGGGGCACAGUGAAGACAGCACAGGCUUUAAGGAGAGGGCUGUUUGAAGCUGCUAAUGCAGGUGCUUAAACACAGAAAAAGUGCCUUCAUUUCAACUUUAUAUUUAUGAGUAGUUUACAGAAAGCUUUCCAGCCAAAGGAAACAAAAUUGGUAAACACAGUAAGUAAUAGAUUCAACAAAUAGCGCUAAAGAUAAAGAACUAAUUUACAUUUAAUGAGACAGCGAUUGUUUAUUAAAUAAGAAAUGGUUGUGUUUAUGAAGAUGGCCUUAAAGGUUUUUCAGGAAGAAUACAUUAAGCCUUGAACAUAGCUUUUCAUAUUCAAAAGAUGUGAUUUGAAGAAAGGGGGAAGGGAAGAGGCAGCAGAAUGAAUGAAGACUGUAGAAAGCUGAUAACUUCUGGAAUAUAGGGCACCAGACACAAAUUUAAUGGAAAAUAAAUUCCACAAAAGUUUCUCUUCCUUGGACGUUAUACCACAGGCUGACUCCACAGUACUGAUUUAAAAAAAUAAAAUAGUAUAUUAUUACCAGAGAAUUUAUGGCAUGUUGGAACAUAUA